AACAAUUUACGUUUUCAGAGUAAUCCACAGUUCUCAGCCUUGUAGCACCAGAGCAGGACGUUCUCAGGAAUCCUACAGUGCACUGGACGAUUUUACGGGGAUAACCUACCCCCUAUACCCAGAGUCCUGGUGCUGUUAGUCGACCACAGCUGCUGUUGAAGUAAACAACUGAGUUCCAGUACCUGUGCCCUGGUGUUGUUAGUCGACCACAGCUGCCGUUGAAGUGAACCACCGAGUUCCAGCACCCGUGGUGUACGUCUGAUAGCACUUGACCAGGCGCUCGCACCUUCCCACCGCCUGACCUCAGAAGCAGGCACCCACCACCUCGCCCGCAAUAGACCCGCAAUGUCUCACCCAGAGCCGCGUUACGCCAUCGACCCACAGGUAGUCGUGGAACUAACACAGGAAUUCCUCAAUUCAGGAGAAAAUGCCGCAAACAAGAACAUAGUCGAGGGAAUAAGAAGCAUAGUGCGAAGUUUUGUUGAACUGAAAAAAAUAGCACGGGAAUUGAAAUAUGAUGAUGCAGAGUGGAAAGCUAUGUUGCUUAAUUGUUGUGGCGUUGAAAAUACUAAGAAGGUCUCUCAUAUUAGCCACAAUACCAUCGAAGAAUUGUUAAAACAGGAAAUGGAAUUACCAUGGGAAAACACUCAGAAAAUGAUAACAGGUAAGAGUUAUACGUAUAAAAUCAAUAUGAGGAAAAUACGCAGAAUCUGUGAAAAUAAACAAGACAUCAGAAACGAUAUGUAAUGUUAUACAGACUAAAGGUGUAGCCACUGGUAUAUCACAUACUUCAUAUCAACAGCUGGUGUGUCAUAUAUUUCGCAUAUCACGUAUUCUGUAACAUUACGAUCGGUUAGGCCUGUAUGUUAUAAAUUCACAUCUGUGUUACAACCGCCGUGAAGGCCUUGGCGAGUACCACCGGGCCAACACAUGUUCCGUACCAGCAAAAAGAGAUUACCUGUCAAAAGCAUGUUUGUGCGAGGGGUCGUGUCAUAGGAAGUGAUGGCGGCUCUUCGUAUGAUCGAUACUGGGAGAUAACGAGAUCGCGACCUAACUAAUGUAUAGCAUAUGAAGCAGAAUGUUACUUGAUGUUAUAUCAUAUGUAUGUUUAAAGUGUGAGGGCAAUUCGAGGGGAACUUCCGUGCCGUCAAGUCGCCCAUAACAUUCUGGAAUCAGACUGUUAAGCUGAUAGUCUGUUCCCGUAAUGCAUAUGUAUCCAGUAUAUGUAGAAAGUUCUUUAUUAUAUAAUAUAGUAUAUGUUGUUAUUUAGCGGCUCUAUGUAUUGUAAGCAUGCAUUCUUAUAAUUUGUGUUUUAAUUAACAGUUUCGACCGCUACUGAAUAAACCUUAACCCUUUAC